CAAAUCAAACGGAGAACAAAGAGAAAGCAAAGAAUAAGGAGAAAAAAGGAAGGCACUUGCGAUUAGAAAGAAAGCAUGGUGGGAUGAUUCCAUCAUCCACUUUGCAAAAGCUUGCGUACGCUAGUAUGUUUUCUCCCUCCUGAGGCGCUCUCUUUUAUACUUUCUUUGAGGAUUUUAGAAAUCUCUAAGAUCUGUGUGAGUUCUCAGAAACUACGUUCCACUUUAAGGAGUACUAAGAAAUUCUAUCUAUCUCUUUUCUUCCUUCUUGCAGCGCAAGAAUCCGGGGUAAAAUGCAAGAGAAUCGAUCUAAAGCCUGUGGAAUGCUCUUGUCACCACCUGUGUCUUGCUUGUUGCUCGUUGCUCCCUUGGUGUCAUACCCAGCAUCUUUAGAAAGAAUGCGGUAGGAAAUCGCGAUUGAGAGCCAAGCGCGCGAUCGAGCUGAAAAGAGACAUACCUGUGGGCGCCAUAAUAUUGUUGUGGGCGCCAUUGUGGACGAGACGUAAGAACCCUAGCUUUCUGGAUUGGCAUGAAAUAUUAUUUAGGGUAGGUAUGAGCGACGAAGAACACGAGGAAGGCGCCGGAGGGAUCGAUGAGGCGGCGCUGGAUCACGUCGUGGAGCAGCAGAGCCGUCGCCGGAUGACGGACAAUGAGCGGCAUCAGGUGGAGCAAAUCGAGGCGCUCGAGAUGGAAGAGCUCGAGGAGGAGGAGGAGGAGGAAGACAAUGAAUCGCACAUCAGGCAUGGACGCAUCGCUAGAGCUCCUCCUCAGCCUGGAUUCACGUUUGAUACAUCUCUAGCGAGCAGACACGUGUACCUUGGUGAUGUGGACGACACGGGACACAUUCGUGCGUUCCUGGAAGAAGGUAGCGUCGUGAGGCUUCCUAUUUUAUACUUGGAAGGCAUUGUUCUUUUUCCAGAAGCCACGCUUCCUCUCAAAGUUGUGCGGCGGAGGUGUAAGGCCGCCGUCGUGACGGCUAUAAGUCAGGACCAUGCACCGUAUACACUCGCUGUGCUUCACGUUGGGCGGAAGGACAAUGCUGUUUAUCCUGCUCUCGUGGGAACCACAGCUGAGAUUCGUCAACUAAGGCACUCACUUGAUGGUUCCAUCACCGUUGUUGCAAGGGGCCGUCAAAGGUUUCGAGUUCAAGAUGCGUGGAGUGAUGACAAUGAUACGCCAUGUUGUCUAGUCAAGAUACUUGAAGAAACGAGACCUUUGCAAGUCCCAAGAGAUGCUUUUUCGGCCAAGGCUGCUGUGCCCAGCAGAGAAAGUGGAAAAGUCCCUCGUGCCAUUCAUGAGUCUCCUGAUCCCGUGGAAGACGACGAUGAGGUACCUCUGGACGCGGGCCCUGAAGCUAGUGGUGAUAUAAGGAGUCAAGUGACACGGUUCCUGAAUGGCCAGGGAACUCUGACGCAUCUGCUACUACAGUUUCACCACGACGACAGUGACGAAGAGGACGGUAGUAUGGUACUUCCCAGAUGGCUCAGAAGACGGAAUGUAGAGGAUCUGGAUACUUCACCUUCCGUGGAAAGAAACUUACCAGCAACAUCGUCUCAGCCUGUUAAUCAAAACCAAGCUGGCGAGAGCUCUGAAAACGCCAUGACUCGUAAAUGGUCCCGCUCGGAUGGAGAGUGGGGUGGUGCUUCCAAAGCUUGGGCUAGAGACGAGGCCAAGUGGAUUUCUAGGGGACAACGGGCUGCUUGGCCACACUGGGUCUACCGGAUGUAUGACGCGUAUGAUCUAUCUCGCAGAGCAGCAGGUAAGAUAUGUGGAGACAAAUGGUCGAGCUUCCUAGCAUGGAUGAACUCGUCGGUAAUCCUGGACUACUGUCGUUCUUCAUUGCUAGCAAGAUGCCGCUUCCAGACGAGACUAGGCAGGAGCUUCUUGAGUUGGACGUCGUUUACAGGCUGCGAAGGGAAGUCCAGCUUCUCGAGAGCAUGGAUCUCAUUCGCUGCAAGAGUUGCAAAGCAACAAUUGCUAGGCGGAGUGACAUGCUUGUCAUGUCUGCUGACGGUCCUAUGAACGCUUUCGUGAACGAGCACGGCUACGUGCAUGAGACGCUUACUCUUCGCAAAGCACAAGGGCUCAACUUACGUGGUCGUCCGGAGACACAGCACAGCUGGUUUCCCGGCUAUGCCUGGACGAUCGCGAACUGCGUGUGCGACGCACAUAUGGGAUGGAGAUUCACGGCUGCAAAGAGCGGCAUGAAUCCGAAAGGCUUUUGGGGGAUCCGGAGGUCGCAAAUCGCAGGCACUGGUCCGGAGCAGUAGAGACGACGUUGGUAAGCUCCUCCCAUUUUUUUUGGAUUUCCUUCUUGUCUUGUUUUGUUUUUGUGCUGCUCCAGACGUAGAUUUUGCGAAGGAAUAUUAAAGAUCAGUGUUGGAGGUUGGAAGCCGUUACAGAAGAAAUUCUCGCUCGCAGGGAAGAUUUGCUCCUCGAUUUGUUCUCGCAAUCCAUUCUCUCUCGACGACGGAGAACAGAGUUCCUCCAAAAGAGAACCAAUGAGAAAAAAAACCAAAAGGCUCUGCUGCCGCUCGCUGGAAUCUAGUUGUUACUUAAGAUUAUGAUCAACCAUGAUUGUCUGGCGUGAGACUUC